rnacentral:rRNA from 1 species
GUGUCAGCCGCCGCGGUAAUACAGAGGUCCCAAGCGUUGUUCGGAUUCACUGGGCGUAAAGGGUGCGUAGGUGGUCGGGUAAGUCUGAGGUGAAAUCUCCGAGCUUAACUCGGAAACUGCCUUGGAUACUAUUCGGCUCGAGGGUUGGAGGGGGGACUGGAAUUCUCGGUGUAGCAGUGAAAUGCGUAGAUAUCGAGAGGAACACCAGUGGCGAAGGCGAGUCCCUGGACAACUCCUGACGCUGAGGCACGAAAGCUAGGGGAGCAAACAGGAUUAGAUACCCCCGUAGUCC